AAAUCUCAUCAAAUCAAAUACCAGCACAAAUCUUAGAGAAAUAAACAAGAAAUCUCAACAAAAUACAAAAUUUUUAAGUAAACAACAAACAAUCAUAUAAACCCAAGUCCCAAUAUGUGAAGGUUGUCGAUGGUAAAGAUUGAAAGGAACGACAUAGAUGGUUGUGCUUGUUUGAUGUUGAGGAUUGAGAGAAAGGGAAUGGAUGGUGAAGAUUGAGAGGAUCACAAGACAGCGACAGGACUCCUUGGCUCCUCGCUGCGUGUAUCUGGUUCUUUGUGGAUCUGGCCUUCAUCUUCACAUCGACUUGAGCAUAAGCAGGAGGGUUGUGCAUGUGCAUCUUCGUCUUUAAGCCACCAGGUUAGGUGGAGGCACUAAAGAAUGAAAAUGAUGAACGGAAAAGUGAGGACAAGGAGGCACUGAAGAAUGAAAAAGAAUGAAAAAGA
rnacentral:misc_RNA from 1 species